AGUUCACCGACAAGCACGUAAAAAAAUUGUUUAUAUACGUUUUCCGGGUGUUUUUUUAAAUAUUUAUUUAUGUGGUACAAAGACAGUCGGUUAACCGGUUAACCGCUCGAAUAUUGAAACAGGUUAACCUGUUACGGAUUUGAUCAGGAAGUUAUAAUCUACCUGAGAGUACAAGUACCUACAUGAGAAUAAGGACCCGUAAUCGUGUAGCCACUAUGGUUUUGCAAUAACAGUAAAAGCCACCAGCAAACUGCAGUUCCUAUUGGACAGUGGUCUAGUGGUAGUAUGCUGGUCUAGGAACCGAAAGGUCCCUGGUUCAAAUCCCGCUCAGACCACAGAAUUUUCCUGAGCAAAAAAUUAAUCCCACGCUUGCUCCUCUCCACCCAGGACCAUAAAUGGGUACCCGUGAGAGAAAAAAGCCAAUGUGCCGUGGCUGCAUACUGCGCCGAAUGUAAACGGACGACUUAUAUCCCAGUGAUCGGGGGUAAAUGUCAGAGUCGAUUGAAGAUGAGUCUAGUAUCAUAAUCAGAUGAUAAACGCAUUUACCAUUUACAAUUCCAAAUUGUGUGCACUAUAUGUGAAAUGGAGAGAAAAAGCAGUAAGUGUCAAGCUUAUCUUGAAAUGUGUGUUGCGUGUAUUUCUUGCUUUGAGUGCGUAUUUUGCUUGUGGAAACCCGAUACAUAAUGAAGCGAUACAAUGCAAACUUGGGGCGCAAAUCACAAUCCCUUUACCUUUGAAGGCAAACAUGGACUACACUGUAAGUGUUGGAGGUACAGAUGUAGGUGCGUGUAACACUUACACAUCAAUGACACCUCAUUGCAUGCUGCAUGACCAAGGAUUCAUCGGUCAAUACAAUUUCAUUGGCAGAGGGACACAUUGGACAUUACUUAUCGAAAAGAUGUCCUGUAAUAAUACAAAUGUUACGAUCCAAGCAACUGACGGAUUCCGAAGCAAUACAAUCAUAAGUAUUCCGAUUAUUUUUAUGAGGUAUAAAUCUCGAAAUGACACAGAUUUCUCUGAUGAACAAACAGAAUCUAGCGGCAAUAAUAGGCUACAUGCUUUUUUUCCAUCCUUCACAGCUAAACGUGUCUUCCUUGUUUCUGUUUUCAUUUUCUUUCUACUUGUAUGUGUGUGUAUUAUAAAAUUCACUUCUCACAUUAGAGACAGACAGACAGACAGACAGAAAGACGGCCGGACGGACGGACGGGCGGUCGGACGGACGGAAAGACGGAUAGACAGAAAGACAGACACACAGACAGGCAGUAAAUAUCAAUUAUGUGUAGUGUGUAAGUUAUUUCAAUAUUAAGUUGUUAUAUUUUCACAUUUGCCAGACUCGACAUUUGAUAACCGGUAAAACCGGAAGGUCUUGCAUAAUUCGAACUUGACCAUUUAUAAUAUACGACAAUUUUUGUUAAAACCCCUUCUGAGAAAUUGCAGGAUGCAGUUACAAUAUAUAAUUAUCUUUUGUUCUGUUCGUGCGGACUUACAAACAGGCGGACUGACGACCAGGAAGAAAUGGACCGAUAUACAUACAGCUGAAUGUCUAUACCAAGUUGCAUCAUACCAUUUUACAUACUGUUCGAUUUAUAACAAUAUUUUAGUUUAGCAGACAAACAGAAAUAUAGAUAGAUGAAUAGAGGACGGUAUAUUGACAGAUAGAGCGCAGAAAACAUAUAGCUUAUAUGUAUAACACGUUUAAUGAUAAUAUAUAAUGCUCUUUUUGAACGGACAUUCAAAUAACGGAUAAAUAAAUGAAUUGAUUGUCAGACAGACAUACAGAAAACCCAAAGCUGAAUGUGUUUGCCAUGCUUCCUUGUUAAAAUUAUCUUGUCAUUUCGUUACACGUGUUUAUAUAAAUCUAAAUCUAUAAAAUUGUUUGUAUGUCUUCUCAAAUUGCUACUCUUGUAUGGUUUUUGUAUUUAUACCUUAGUAUUAUGUUAUACCUGUUUCUUUGUUGCUGUUGUUUUUUAGUACAUAAGCAUUGAUUUCAUUUGUGACACAAAAGCGAUUUUUUAGGUACAAUUUUUCCUAAAUAGAGCACUGUGCUCAAAUUCCACACUUAAACGAAUGAAACCGUGUUUAUAGUUUUUUAUAAAUACACAACUUACAUUGAUAUUGUUUGUUUUAUAAAUACUUGUUAAACAGAAUCCGGCAUUUCAGCAAACGCAAAUGUAUUGUUUUCAUGUUUAUUUUUUAUGUUUACAUAGCUUACAUUGUAUUGUGUUCUAUCAAUACUUGUUUAACAGAAUCCGACAUAUCAGCAAAAUAAAUUGUAUUGUUUACAUUUCCUUUAAAUGAAACAUUAUCUUAAUAUUUAUAUAGAAUUCAUGUAUCACUGACAAAGUAUGCUUUAUUACUAACACUUAAAAAUACAUAUUUACAGAGUCAGCCUUAUUAUGAAUAAACAUGUUAUUUUUUAAAUGAAUUUGUAAAAUCUGAGAAACCAAAUAUUAAUGUCGUAUAUUAAGGGCAAUUUUAAUAUCUUGCACUGUGUGUACACUGUGUGUAUGUUUUAUUCCUCACAUUUCCCGCCAUUUAGAUUUUUUGUUUGUUUUUUCUUUUAUGUUAACCAUGCUGUAUGUUAAGAUAGGUUAGGUUUUGUGAACUUGAGCAUAUUUGAAUAGCUACAUUGUUGUUGUUUACAGUUUUCUUGUAAUACUUGAUUAACUGUGUAGCAUUAGCCGGUAUGAAUAAGUAAAAUAUUAUCUCAUACUAAGAGGCUUAAAUGACAUCCAGAAGAGAUAAGAUAUUUU